rnacentral:rRNA from 1 species
CACCCAAUAGCUAGCCCAACCACCCAAACACAACAAACCCGUAUCAACUACACCCGAAUACCCCCAACUCCCUGCCUAAAACAUUUUUCCCCUUUAGUAUGGGCGACAGAAAAAGAACAAGGAGCGACAGAACCAGUACCGCAAGGGAAGGCUGAAAGAGAGCUGAAAUAGAACAGUAAAGUACAGCAAAGCAGAGCUUAGCCCUCGUACCUUUUGCAUCAUGAGUCAGCUAGUAUAAGCGAGCAAGAUGAGCCGCAGCUCCCCACCCCGAAACGAAGUGAGCUACUCCAGGACAGCCUAUUUAGGGCCAACCCGUCUCUGUGGCAAAAGAGUGGGAAGAUCUUUGAGUAGAAGUGACAGACUUACCGAACUUCGUUAUAGCUGGUUGUCCGGGAAAUGGAUAUAAGUUCAGCCCCCUAGUUUUUUCCGCUCACACACCAUACCAUGGCCGUAUGACAACGAAGACCCCAGGGGAGUUAUUCACAGGGGGUACAGCCCCUUUGAACAAAGAUACAACUUUUUAAGGAGGACAAGGAUUAUUAACCCCGAAGGGGUGGCGCCUCAGUGGGCCUAAGAGCAGCCAUCUGAAUAGAAAGCGUUAAAGCUCGAGCACAAACACCACCCGCAUAUCUCAAUAACCUCUUCCAAAGCCCCAAAACCCUACCGGACCCCCCUACUUAGUAGGAGAGAACAUGCUAACAUGAGUAAUAAGAGGUGCCCGCACCUCUCCCCGCACACGUGUACAUCAGAACGGACCCCCCGCCGAAAAUUAACGGACCCAAAGAAAGAGGGCAAUGACACACAGCAAACCAACUGGAAAACCAAUCAGCCCCGCCCGUUGACCCCACACCGGUGUGCCCUAGGGAAAGACUAAAAGAAAAAGAAGGAACUCGGCAAACUAAUAAAAGCCUCGCCUGUUUACCAAAAACAUCGCCUCUUGCACAACCGUUGUAGAAUAAGAGGUCGAGCCUGCCCAGUGACAUUAUGUUUAACGGCCGCAGUAUUUUAACUGUGCUAAGGUAGCGCAAUCACUUGUCUUUUAAAUGAGGACCUGUAUGAAAGGCGUGACGAGGGCUUAACUGUCUCCUUUUUCAGGUCAGUGAAAUUGAUCCCCCCGUGCAGAAGCGGGGAUCCGCCCAUAAGACGAGAAGACCCUGUGGAGCUUGAGACAUCCGAGCAGCCCAUGUAAACGGCCCCCUCCCAAGGAAGUUCAGCUCAAUGGCACCUGCCCCAAUGUCUUCGGUUGGGGCGACCAUGGGGAAUACCAAACCCCCAUGUAGACAGGGAGCACUAACGAGGGACAUCACCACCAAACCCACAACAGCACUCCUAGAAACCAGAGCUCCCGCUCUAGUUAACGAGACAUUCGACUCAGAUUGAUCCGGGUAAACCGAUCAACGAACCAAGUUACCCCAGGGAUAACAGCGCCAUCCCCUUCCAGAGCCCAUAUCGCCAAGGGGGUUUACGACCUCGAUGUUGGAUCAGGACAUCCUAAUGGUGCAACCGCUAUUAAGGGUUCGUUUGUUCAACGAUUAAAGUCCUACGUGAUCUGAGUUCAGACCGGAGCAAUCCAGGUCAGUUUCUAUCUAUGACACACCUUCUUCUAGUACGAAAGGACCGAAGAAGGGGGGCCCAUGCUUCGAAGCACGCCCAACCCCUAAAUGAUGAAACCAGCUAAACCAUAUAAAGGGGUGUAAAACCCACGCUUAGAUAUCAGCAU